CACGUCAGCGCGCUGUGCUGACAUGGCAACAAAUCGCGUCCACGUAAGCGCGAUUUGUAUCCACGUCAGCAAAUUACGCUGACGUGG
rfam:Gossypium hirsutum cultivar TM-1 chromosome 9, whole genome shotgun sequence